rnacentral:rRNA from 1 species
CCUACGUGAGGCAGCAGUAGGGAAUCUUCCACAAUGGGCGAAAGCCUGAUGGAGCAACGCCGCGUGGGUGAAGAAGGUCUUCGGAUCGUAAAACCCUGUUGUUAGAGAAGACAGUGCGUGAGAGUAACUGUUCACGUUUCGACGGUAUCUAACCAGAAAGCCACGGCUAACUACGUGCCAGCAGCCGCGGUAAUACGUAGGUGGCAAGCGUUAUCCGGAUUUAUUGGGCGUAAAGGGAACGCAGGCGGUCUUUUAAGUCUGAUGUGAAAGCCUUCGGCUUAACCGGAGUAGUGCAUUGGAAACUGGGAGACUUGAGUGCAGAAGAGGAGAGUGGAACUCCAUGUGUAGCGGUGAAAUGCGUAGAUAUAUGGAAGAACACCAGUGGCGAAAGCGGCUCUCUGGUCUGUAACUGACGCUGAGGUUCGAAAGCGUGGGUAGCAAACAGGAUUAGAUACCCUUGUAGUC